AUGCAUGCAAUUGAGGGUUUGAUCAAACUAAUCAAUAUGUGGGAAAUCCAGCCUCUCGUGCUCCUCAGCUUCACACUGCAAAUUUUCUUGUUCUUUACUGGCAGCCUUAGACAGCAUAGUGCCAGCAUGUUCCUAAGGCUCUCCAUUUGGGCAGCUUAUCUGGGAGCGGACUUUGUAGCAGUUUAUACCCUCGGCCUUGUCUCGCGACAUGAGGAUAUCACCAUUGAAGGGCACAUACCAGGGAAAACACAAUCACUAGCUUUCUUUUGGGCACCGUUUCUCCUCAUCCAUCUUGGCGGGCAGGACACUAUUACUGCCUUUGCCAUGGAGGACAAUAACUUGUGGUUGAGGCAUUUGCUGAAUCUAGUGGUUCAAGCUGUCCUAGCUAUAUAUGUUUUCUGGAAGUCUAUUGGAAGACACAGAGUGGAGCUUCUAGUGUCUGGUGUAUUUUUGUUUGUUGUUGGAGUUAUCAAGUAUGGGGAAAGAAUAUGGUCUCUCAAGUGUGGCUGCUUUAAAAGCCUUGAGAGCGGAAGUGGACAUCGUUACAAGAAGUUGCCAGACCUUGAGUGCGAAGAGGACACAGGCCAGGAAUCUAACAGCAAAGUGAGCACUGAUGGUGGCUAUGAUAGCAUUGUUUAUAUAGCUCUGUCUUCAAUGCCACAUGUCCAUGAUAUCUUUUCGGGACGUGGCUACUUUUCUAUCGCUGAUUUCCCCGCAAGGUCGAUGCUAGAUGACAACAAAGAGGCGAUCAAGAUGGUCAGUAUUAUUCUUAGCGUGAUGUUUUCUGAUUUCUACACAAAGGCUCUUGUGGUGAGAAGAAGAAGUGCCAUCAUACUUAGAUGCAUCUCUCAGAUGUCCGCUGUUGUUGCUUUUGCUGUGUUCCAUGAAAAUGACAAACAGAGGUACAGAAAAAUUGACAUUGCAAUCACUUACUCACUUUUUGUUGGAUGCUUUCUCCUAGAACUAUGUGCAAUGUUUAUUUCCAUGAUGUCACCCUGGACAUGGGCAUGGCUGAAGGUUCGAAAGUGGGAUAGGCUUGCCAGGUUGUCAUGGUUUAUUUUUUCUAGUAAUAUUGGAUGGCCGGAAGAGAAGCAAUGUUUCCAAAAGUCAAUGGGACAGUACAUCUUUUCAAGCUGGGUGACUGGCAGUGGCCAAGCGAGAACAUUCAAUCAACGAGUGAUGACCAUGGUCAAAUGGCUUGCAGAUUUGGUCCGUGUUGAAAGGAAGAAUAUAUUCUGGAUUAGCAAGCUGUUAGACACUGAGUAUGUGGAUGUGGAUGAGAUGACUAUGGACUGUGUUGCAAAAGAGAUUAGUCAAUUGAGGCAUGUAGGCGGCCCCAUUAAGAGUGGCCGAGACUGGCCGAAUUUGUUGGGAGAACGUGCAGAUUUUGGUGCUGCUAUUGUGUUAUUUCAUGUACUGACUGACAAACAUUUGAGUAGAUACCCCCCGUCUCAUCCUCCGGACAUGGAGGAAUUUGGUAUGAUGGAGGUAUGCCGGAAACUGUCCAACUACAUGAUGUACCUUUUGGCUACCCAUCCUUCCUUGCUGCCGCUCAAUGUUAGCGCGGAAGCUAUGCUGGACCAUCUUCAGGAUCCACAAAUACUACAUGAGGACCUACUCCAAGAUCUUGAGCCAAGCAAGGAAGCAGUAGAGGAGUUAGUUCAGGUGUGGGCGAGGCUCCUUAUUUACGCUGCAGGCAAGUCAAGGGGGGAGAUGCACACGGCACUACUGAGCAGUGGAGGGGAGUUCAUCACCUUCGUCUGGCUGCUCAUGGCCCUCUACGACCUCGGGGAUUUCCAGUGGAAGAGGAUUCGGCUCACCAAUGCUGCUUUCAUUGAUCAUAGGGUGGAGGAGUUAUUCGCCUUCCCUGUUCCUGCAGCAAUUCCACCGGAAGAAGCUAGCAGCAGCAAGGCGCAUGGGUGA
rnacentral:rRNA from 1 species